rnacentral:rRNA from 1 species
ACAUCCAGAGAAUUUAGCAGAGAUGCUUUAGUGCCUUCGGGAACUCUGAGACAGGUGCUGCAUGGCUGUCGUCAGCUCGUGUUGUGAAAUGUUGGGUUAAGUCCCGNAACGAGCGCAACCCUUAUCCUUCGUUGCCAGCACGUAAUGGUGGGAACUCAAAGGAGACUGCCGGUGAUAAACCGGAGGAAGGUGGGGAUGACGUCAAGUCAUCAUGGCCCUUACGAGUAGGGCUACACACGUGCUACAAUGGCGCAUACAAAGAGAAGCGACCUCGCGAGAGCAAGCGGACCUCAUAAAGUGCGUCGUAGUCCGGAUUGGAGUCUGCAACUCGACUCCAUGAAGUCGGAAUCGCUAGUAAUCGUAAAUCAGAAUGUUACGGUGAAUACGUUCCCGGGCCUUGUACACACCGCCCGUCACACCAUGGGAGUGGGUUGCAAAAGAAGUAGAUAGCUUAACCUUCGGGAGGGCGUUUACCACUUUGUGAUUCAUGACUGGGGUGAAGUCGUAACAAGGUAGGCGUAGUGCU